rnacentral:rRNA from 1 species
GGGCCCGCACAAGCGGUGGAGCAUGUGGUUUAAUUCGAUGCAACGCGAAGAACCUUACCUACUCUUGACAUCCUGCGAAUUUGGUAGAGAUACCUUAGUGCCUUCGGGAACGCAGAGACAGGUGCUGCAUGGCUGUCGUCAGCUCGUGUUGUGAAAUGUUGGGUUAAGUCCCGUAACGAGCGCAACCCUUGUCCUUAUUUGCCAGCGCGUAAUGGCGGGAACUCUAAGGAGACUGCCGGUGACAAACCGGAGGAAGGUGGGGACGACGUCAAGUCAUCAUGGCCCUUACGAGUAGGGCUACACACGUGCUACAAUGGUCGGUACAAAGGGUUGCCAACUCGCGAGAGUGAGCCAAUCCCGAAAAGCCGAAUCUCAGUCCGGAUCGGAGUCUGCAACUCGACUCCGUGAAGUCGGAAUC